rnacentral:lncRNA from 1 species
ACACAAGUUUUUGAUUUAUUUCUUUUAAUGCAUUUAAGGCGAUCGCAAACUCGAAACUGAUUGAAGCGCAGCAAACUUUAUGCCAGACCUCUAAAGCAGGGCCAAUUGACGAGUAUGUGUAGGCAAUGUUUGUAUGUUGAGAAUUUCACUUCCAUAUGCAAGGAAUUAUGUUGCUUCAAUAUUAUGACUUGGACACACUUCAACGGUUACAGCAAAUGCAAAAGAACUGUCUGGGUUUUUACUUGUAGCCUGAACAUGUGGAAGCAUGGGUCUGGGUGUGUGUUCAAACGGAACGAUACCAAUUGGGUAUUAUGAUGAAUACCACAUACAUUAUUGCCUCUGUACCUAAAUGGGUAACUUGGAUGGCAAAAUGGAUGUCACAGAGGAAUAUUGAAGAACUAACAACUUUUUCAAAGUUCGAAAGCGAGAAGGCCAAACCAUACAAUUAUCGCGUCGGUCUUGGUUGCAGUGAUGCCAGACCACACGAGUUCGUGCCCGUAGUUCCAGGCCUCGGCAAUAGAGUGCCGCGCAAUAUGUCGUUUCAUGGCAGCGAG